rnacentral:rRNA from 1 species
GCUUACGGCCAUACCACCCUGAGCACGCCCCGACCUCGUCUGAUCUCGGAAGCUAAGCAGGGCUUGGGCUUGGUUAGUACUUGGAUGGGAGACUUCCUUGGAAUACCUGGUGCUGUAAGCC